rnacentral:rRNA from 1 species
AGAGUUUGAUCAUGGCUCAGGAUGAACGCUGGCGGUAUGCUUAACACAUGCAAGUCGAACGGACUCUUCGGAGUUAGUGGCGGACGGGUGAGUAACGCGUGAGAAUCUGCCUCUAGGUCGGGGACAACAGUUGGAAACGACUGCUAAUACCCGAUGUGCAGCAAUGUGAAAGAUUUAUUGCCUAGAGAUGAGCUCGCGUCUGAUUAGCUAGUAGGUGUGGUAAUGGCGCACCUAGGCGACGAUCAGUAACUGGUCUGAGAGGAUGACCAGUCACACUGGGACUGAGACACGGCCCAGACUCCUACGGGAGGCAGCAGUGGGGAAUUUUCCGCAAUGGGCGAAAGCCUGACGGAGCAAUACCGCGUGAGGGACGACGGCUUUUGGGUUGUAAACCUCUUUUCCCUGGGAAGAAGAUCUGACGGUACCAGGGAAUCAG